GUGAUUGUAGCUCAGUGGUAGAGCUUGCCUAGCACACGUAAGGGACUGAGUUCGAUCCUCAGUACCACA
rnacentral:tRNA from 1 species